UACGAGGGGAGCUAGCGUUAUUCGGAAUUACUGGGCGUAAAGCGCACGUAGGCGGCUUUUUAAGUCAGGGGUGAAAUCCCGGGGCUCAACCCCGGAACUGCCCUUGAAACUGGAGAGCUAGAAUCUUGGAGAGGCGAGUGGAAUUCCGAGUGUAGAGGUGAAAUUCGUAGAUAUUCGGAAGAACACCAGUGGCGAAGGCGACUCGCUGGACAAGUAUUGACGCUGAGGUGCGAAAGCGUGGGGAGCAAACAGG
rnacentral:rRNA from 1 species